GUGGCUUUUCAAGGUACGUGCUGAAGACAGCAGAGUGACAAGCUAGAUGGAACCUGGAUCCUAAAUCACCAUGUUAAAGGCCACCCACCAAAUACUCAACAUUGAACAGCUCUGUGAGUGAGAAAUAAACUUUUAUUGUGUGAAGUCUUUGAGGUUUGGGGCCUUAUGUAUUAUAGCAAUUCGUGUUGCUUACUAUGACCCAGAAAUUGCACUUCUAGGAAUGUUUCCUAAAGAAAUAAUCCGAGAUGCAAAGACUGAUAGAAUCUGAGAACAAUGGACAAAACCCGAAAUGGCUAUAAUCACAAUGAAUGCUGCAAAGGGCUCUGAAACAUGGGAAUGGAAAGUGAACAGCGGAGGACAGAAAAUAAAUUACACAAUUGCUCAGUAGUACAAAUACAGUAUUUGUGAUGGGAAUUAAGAAGAACAACAGUUGAAAAGAAAAUAAAAAACUGAUCAGCA
rnacentral:lncRNA from 1 species